UGUAUGACUUGCUUAUGUGAGGUAACCACAUAUCUGCUACUAUCAGUUUAGGCAUACUGAAAAUGCUUGUGCCCUUCAGACGCCUAACAUCUUGAUUUGCUGACCAAUUAAGAGAGGCAUGUCAAAGAUAAAAUUUAAUUCCUUUUAUCCAGUAAUGUAGGGGAAGGUACAUGGUUAUACAUCCGAAUCCGAUGAUCUCAAAUGUGCUGAGACCAAGCGUACUCUCAGUCUGUAUUCAGUUUCGUCUACGCUGGGUAAUAUUCAGUCUGUAUUCAGCUUCGACUAUUUUCACUCAAAUGAUCAGAUUUGCAUCAUUUUAUCGAGUAAUGGAGGGGAAUGGACUGAACCAUACGGUUCAGGCCCUUUUUAACAUGCCAAGUACUCUACUAGCAAAUGCCAACCCUUCACCUGUGUGAAGUUCAGAAGUUCAGGUGUCGUACGAGUGCAUCAUAGCUGCACAAGCAUCUUCCUCUAAUGGUUUAUGUGGCGCCAAGAUCACGGAGUGAUAACCGUACAAGUUCAUCUGCUCAUCUCUGGAAACAUAAUACAGUGAAGACUCAUCCUGUUGUACAAGCAGUACUGGUUAAACCGAUUAACCGAACCUCAGUCACUCUAAAAAAUUCAGUAACUCUAGAGUUCAGGUUGUU
rnacentral:lncRNA from 1 species